CCUACGGGAGGCAGCAGUGGGGAAUUUUGGACAAUGGGCGCAAGCCUGAUCCAGCAAUGCCGCGUGAGUGAAGAAGGCCUUCGGGUUGUAAAGCUCUUUUGUCAGGGAAGAAACGGUCUGUUCUAAUACAGCGGGCUAAUGACGGUACCUGAAGAAUAAGCACCGGCUAACUACGUGCCAGCAGCCGCGGUAAUACGUAGGGUGCAAGCGUUAAUCGGAAUUACUGGGCGUAAAGCGUGCGCAGGCGGUUUUGUAAGUUUGUCGUGAAAUCCCCGGGCUCAACCUGGGAAUGGCGAUGAAGACUGCAAGGCUAGAGUUUGGCAGAGGGGGGUAGAAUUCCACGUGUAGCAGUGAAAUGCGUAGAUAUGUGGAGGAACACCGAUGGCGAAGGCAGCCCCCUGGGUCAAACUGACGCUCAUGCACGAAAGCGUGGGGAGCAAACAGGAUUAGAUACCCUGGUAGUCCACGCCCUAAACGAUGUCUACUAGUUGUCGGGUCUUAAUUGACUUGGUAACGCNGCUACGCGUGAGUAGACCGCCGUCGGGAGGUACGGUCGCGAGAGUAAACUACGAAGUAGUAGUAGCGCGNGAGACGCGACGACGACGACGACGGAGGAGG
rnacentral:rRNA from 1 species